rnacentral:rRNA from 1 species
UGUAAGCGUAUACCAAAGUUGUUGCAGUUAAAACGCUCGUAGUCGGAAUUUGGCAGUUCCGGAUGUGUGCACGUCGUGUGCGCACUUCGCGGGGAUUGCUUUUGUGGUCUUGCGUAGGAUGAGGCAAUUUUAUUAGUGAACGUCCUCACGCAACCACUUUUUACUGUGAGAAAAUCAGAGUGCUCAAAGCAGGCAUUUGCCGUGAAUGUAUUAGCAUGGAAUAAUAGAAUAGGACUUGGUUCUAUUUUGUUGGUUUGUUGGGACUGAGUAAUGAUUAAGAGGGACAGUUGGGGGCAUUUGUAUUUCGGUGCUAGAGGUGAAAUUCUUAGAUUACCGAAAGACAAACUGCUGCGAAAGCGUCUGCCAAGGAUGUUUUCAUUGA